rnacentral:rRNA from 1 species
AUUAAAAACCAAUGCCCUUCGGGGCUUCACUGGUGAUUCAUAAUAACUUCUCGAAUGGCAUGGCCUUGCGUCGGCGAUGGUUCAUUCAAAUUUCUGCCCUAUCAACUUUCGACGGCAGGGUCUUGGCCAGCCUUGGUGACAACGGGUAACGGAGGGUUAGGGCUCGACCCCGGCGAAGAAGGAGCCUGAGAAACGGCUACUACAUCCAAGGAAGGCAGGAGGCGCGCAAAUUACCCAAUCCCGAUACGGGGAGGAAGUGACAAUAAAUACUGAUACAGGGCUUUUUGGGUCUUGUAAUUGGAAUGAGUACAAUUUAAAUCCCUUAACGAGGAACAAUUGGAGGGCAAGUCGGUGCCAGCAGCCGCGGUAAUUCCAGUCCAAUAGCGUAUAUUAAAGUUGUUUGCAGUUAAAAAGCUCGUAGUUGAACCUUGGGCCUGGCUGGCCGGUCCGCCUCACCGCGUGCACUGGUCCGGCCGGGCCUUUCCCUCUGGGGAGCCGCAUGCCCUUCACUGGGUGUGUC